ensembl:lncRNA
GGAGCAUGCUAGUUAGGUACAAGUGGUCGUCUCGGUCUUCCGUUAACAAGUGCUGGAACAUGGACAUUUUGCCACUUUAGGAACCCUAAGCCUAAUCUUCAUAAAAGAUACACCUACUAGCCUACCAUGUCUGAACCAGUCCCCCGGUUUUGGCUGUAGUCUUCCAGCCGAGAGAAGUUCACAGUGGGGUCCAGAGAAGCUGGGGGACUGCAGUGAACCACUGGAAGUCAAUGUGAUUGUUAAAGAGGAAGAGAGAGAAGACUAAGAGGAAGAGAGAGAACUUAGUGGAAGAAGAGAAUGUGGUGGAGGAGAAGAAAGGGAGGAAGAGAGAGAAGACUAAGAGGAAGAGAGAGAACUUAGUGGAAGAGAAUGUGGUGGAGGAGAAGAAAGGGAGGAAGAGAGAGAAGACUAAGAGGAAGAGAGAGAACUUAGUGGAAGAAGAGAAUGUGGUGGAGGAGAAGAAAGGGAGGAAGAGAGAACUUAGUGGAAGAAGAGAAUGUGGUGGAGGAGAAGAAAGGGAGGAGGAGAGAAGACUAAGAGGAAGAGAUUGAAAAGGAACAUAGACAGAAGUUAGAGGUAGAGGAAUGAAAGAAGAAGAGCAGGAGACCGAAGUCAAAGAGGAGGUAGAGGAGAAAAAGUAUAUAAAAAAGUAUAUGCC